rnacentral:rRNA from 1 species
UACGGAGGGGGCUAGCGUUGUUCGGAAUCACUGGGCGUAAAGCGCGCGCAGGUGGCUUGGAAAGUCAGAGGUGAAAUCCCGGAGCUUAACUUCGGAACUGCCUUUGAAACUCCCGAGCUAGAGUAUGGUAGAGGUUGGCGGAAUUCCUAGUGUAGAGGUGAAAUUCGUAGAUAUUAGGAGGAACACCAGUGGCGAAGGCGGCCAACUGGGCCAUUACUGACACUGAGGCGCGAAAGCGUGGGGAGCAAACAGG